rfam:Rhodobacteraceae bacterium SB2 pfor_12, whole genome shotgun sequence.
CAUCAUCGAUUUGUUGCGGACAGAUAAAGUGAAUAUGGCUGUCAAACCCGCCGGCUGUGAGGAUCUUCCCCUCGCCGGCAAUCACCUCGGUGCCCGGUCCUAUGAUAAUAUCGACAUUGGGCUGCGUAUCGGGAUUGCCGGCCUUGCCGAUCGCGGCAAUGCGACCAUCGCGCAGCGCGAUAUCGGCUUUGUAAAUGCCCGUAUAAUCCAAAAUCAGCGCAUUGGUGAUCACCGUAUCAGCAGCGCCGGCGGCGCGCGUGGCUUGCGACUGCCCCAUACCGUCACG